CAACGCCGCGUGAGUGAUGAAGGUUUUCGGAUCGUAAAGCUCUGUUGUUAGGGAAGAACAAGUGCGAGAGUAACUGCUUGCACCUUGACGGUACCUAACCAGAAAGCCACGGCUAACUACGUGCCAGCAGCCGCGGUAAUACGUAGGUGGCAAGCGUUGUCCGGAAUUAUUGGGCGUAAAGGGCUCGCAGGCGGUUUCUUAAGUCUGAUGUGAAAGCCCCCGGCUCAACCGGGGAGGGUCAUUGGAAACUGGGAAACUUGAGUGCAGAAGAGGAGAGUGGAAUUCCACGUGUAGCGGUGAAAUGCGUAGAGAUGUGGAGGAACACCAGUGGCGAAGGCGACUCUCUGGUCUGUAACUGACGCUGAGGAGCGAAAGCGUGGGGAGCGAACAGGAUUAGAUACCCUGGUAGUCCACGCCGUAAACGAUGAGUGCUAAGUGUUAGGGGGUUUCCGCCCCUUAGUGCUGCAGCUAACGCAUUAAGCACUCCGCCUGGGGAGUACGGUCGCAAGACUGAAACUCAAAGGAAUUGACGGGGGCCC
rnacentral:rRNA from 1 species